rnacentral:rRNA from 1 species
UACGUAGGGUGCAAGCGUUGUCCGGAAUUAUUGGGCGUAAAGGGUGCGUAGGCGGCGGGGCAAGUCUGAUGUGAAAUCCUGGGGCUCAACCUCAGAACUGCAUUGGAUACUGCCGUGCUUGAGGACUGGAGAGGAGACUGGAAUUUACGGUGUAGCGGUGAAAUGCGUAGAUAUCGUAAGGGAAGACCAGUGGCGAAGCGGGUCUCUGGACAGUUCCUGCGUGAGGCACGAAGGUCAGGGGAGCAAACGGG